rnacentral:rRNA from 1 species
UCCCAAACUGGGAUUAGAUACCCCACUAUGCUCAGCCCUAAACAUAAAUAAUUCACACAACGAAAUUAUCUGCCAGAGAACUACUAGCAACAGCCUAAAACUCAAAGGACUUGGCGGUGCUUUACAUCCCUCUAGAGGAGCCUGUUCUAUAAUCGAUAAACCCCGAUAAACCUCACCACUUCUAGCUAAAUCAGUCUAUAUACCGCCAUCUUCAGCAAACA